rnacentral:rRNA from 1 species
UGAGUUUGAUCCUGGCUCAGAACGAACGCUGGCGGCAUGCUUCAGACAUGCAAGUCGAACGAGAUCUUCGGAUCUAGUGGCGCACGGGUGAGUAACGCGUGGGAACCUACCUUUUAGUUCGGGAUAACAGUUGGAAACGACUGCUAAUACCGUAUACGCCCUCCGGGGGAAAGGUCAGCCGCUGAAAGAGGGGCCCGCGUCUGAUUAGCUUGUUGGUAGGGUAAAAGCCUACCAAGGCUACGAUCAGUAGCUGGUCUGAGAGGAUGAUCAGCCACACUGGGACUGAGACACGGCCCAGACUCCUACGGGAGGCAGCAGUCGGGAAUAUUGGACAAUGGAGGAAACUCUGAUCCAGCAAUGCCGCGUGUGUGAUGAAGGCCUUAGGGUUGUAAAGCACUUUCAACGGUGAAGAUGAUGACGGUAGCCGUAGAAGAAGCCCCGGCUAACUUCGUGCCAGCGGCCGCGGUAAUACGAAGGGGGCGAGCGUUGUUCGGAAUUAUUGGGCGUAAAGGGCGCGCAGGCGGUUUGGAUAGUUAGACGUGAAAGCCC